GGUGAGUAAUGUCUGGGAAACUGCCUGAUGGAGGGGGAUAACUACUGGAAACGGUAGCUAAUACCGCAUAACGUCGCAAGACCAAAGAGGGGGACCUUCGGGCCUCUUGCCAUCAGAUGUGCCCAGAUGGGAUUAUCUAGUAGGUGGGGUAACGGCUCACCUAGGCGACGAUCCCUAGCUGGUCUGAGAGGAUGACCAGCCACACUGGAACUGAGACACGGUCCAG
rnacentral:rRNA from 1 species